AACGAACGCUGGCGGCAUGCCUAACACAUGCAAGUCGAACGAAGCCUUCGGGCUUAGUGGCGCACGGGUGCGUAACGCGUGGGAAUCUGCCCCUUGCUUCGGAAUAACAGUUAGAAAUGACUGCUAAUACCGGAUGAAGUCUUCGGACCAAAGAUUUAUCGGCAAGGGAUGAGCCCGCGUAGGAUUAGGUAGUUGGUGGGGUAAAGGCCUACCAAGCCGACGAUCCUUAGCUGGUCUGAGAGGAUGAUCAGCCACACUGGGACUGAGACACGGCCCAGACUCCUACGGGAGGCAGCAGUGGGGAAUAUUGGACAAUGGACGCAAGUCUGAUCCAGCAAUGCCGCGUGAGUGAUGAAGGCCUUAGGGUUGUAAAGCUCUUUUACCAGGGAUGAUAAUGACAGUACCUGGAGAAUAAGCUCCGGCUAACUCCGUA
rnacentral:rRNA from 1 species